GAGACACUAGUAAAAUAGUAAUUACACUGCUUUGUCAGGGCAGAGUCGCGAGUUAAAGCCUCGCGUGUCUUA
rnacentral:tRNA from 1 species